rnacentral:rRNA from 1 species
GCCUACCAUGCAAGGUCGAACGGUAGCACAGGGAAGUAGCUUGCCUCUCCGGGUGACGAGUGGCGGACGGGUGAGUAAUGUCUGGGAAACUGCCCGAUAGAGGGGGAUAACUACUGGAAACGGUAGCUAAUACCGCAUAACCUCGCAAGAGCAAAGUGGGGGACCUUCGGGCCUCACGCUAUCGGAUGUGCCCAGAUGGGAUUAGCUAGUAGGUGGGGUAACGGCUCACCUAGGCGACGAUCCCUAGCUGGUCUGAGAGGAUGACCAGCCACACUGGAACUGAGACACGGUCCAGACUCCUACGGAGGCACAGUGGGGAAUAUUGCACAAUGGGCGCAAGCCUGAUGCACCUGCCCCGUGUAUGAAGAAGGCCUUCCU